GCUGUGCCACUGAGUGCCAGUGACCUUCCUGUAUCCCUGCAGGCUGGAAGCAGGAGCUCAGCAGCAUCGGAGUGGCUGAGCUGUCCUGCCUGGGAGCUGCACAAAAUCUUUGGUGUGCAACUGUGGAAGUGUUUCCAGACUGCUCUGGAAUCUCUCCACUUAUGGGUCACCCAACAAGAUCCUGCUUCUUGCUCAGCCAUGUACAGAAAUGGGCAGGCAUCCACACCUUCUAAAAUAAAGGUAUUUGCAAUAAACCAGAUUUAUUGUUGAGCAAUAAUAGCAAAGGAUAGAAUGAUCAAAUGAAAAGGAAAACCUGAAAAUUCCUUUUUCCAUCAAACUAAUUGCAACAAAUGCCAAUGGCAAGAGAUUUGAGCGGGAAGGAGGGGUGCUCAGUAAUUCAAAGGAAGAACUUGGAUUUAUUUGCUGGUUUUGCUAUUGAAUCCUCCUCUAACCAAUAGCAGGUAAUUCUCCAUGUCCCAAUUUCCCUAAUUUUGUUCCC
rnacentral:lncRNA from 1 species